GACGAACGCUGGCGGCGUGCUUAACACAUGCAAGUCGAACGGAAAGGCCUCUUUCGGGGGGUACUCGAGUGGCGAACGGGUGAGUAACACGUGAGUAACCUGCCCUUGACUUUGGGAUAACUUCAGGAAACUGGGGCUAAUACCGGAUAGGAGCUCCUGCUGCAUGGUGGGGGUUGGAAAGUUUCGGCGGUUGGGGAUGGACUCGCGGCUUAUCAGCUUGUUGGUGGGGUAGUGGCUUACCAAGGCUUUGACGGGUAGCCGGCCUGAGAGGGUGACCGGCCACAUUGGGACUGAGAUACGGCACAGACUCCUACGGGAGGCAGCAGUGGGGAAUAUUGCACAAUGGGUGGAAGCCUGAUGCAGCAACGCCGUGUGCGGGAUGACGGCCUUCGGGUUGUAAACCGCUUUUGCUCAUGACGAAGCUUUGUGUGACGGUAGUGGGUAAAGAAGCACCGGCUAACUACGUG
rnacentral:rRNA from 1 species